UGGGGAAUAUUGCACAAUGGGCGCAAGCCUGAUGCAGCCAUGCCGCGUGUGUGAAGAAGGCCUUCGGGUUGUAAAGCACUUUCAGCGGGGAGGAAGGCGAUAAGGUUAAUAACCUUGACGAUUGACGUUACCCGCAGAAGAAGCACCGGCUAACUCCGUGCCAGCAGCCGCGGUAAUACGGAGGGUGCAAGCGUUAAUCGGAAUUACUGGGCGUAAAGCGCACGCAGGCGGUCUGUCAAGUCGGAUGUGAAAUCCCCGGGCUCAACCUGGGAACUGCAUUCGAAACUGGCAGGCUAGAGUCUUGUAGAGGGGGGUAGAAUUCCAGGUGUAGCGGUGAAAUGCGUAGAGAUCUGGAGGAAUACCGGUGGCGAAGGCGGCACCCUGGACAAAGACUGACGCUCAGGUGCGAAAGCGUGGGGAGCAAACAGG
rnacentral:rRNA from 1 species